rnacentral:rRNA from 1 species
CGGGGGGGGCGGGCUACACAUGCAAGUCGAGCGGCAGCGGAAGUAGCUUGCUACUUUGCCGGCGAGCGGCGGACGGGUGAGUAAUGUCUGGGAAACUGCCUGAUGGAGGGGGAUAACUACUGGAAACGGUAGCUAAUACCGCAUAACGUCGCAAGACCAAAGAGGGGGACCUUCGGGCCUCUUGCCAUCAGAUGUGCCCAGAUGGGAUUAGCUAGUAGGUGGGGUAACGGCUCACCUAGGCGACGAUCCCUAGCUGGUCUGAGAGGAUGACCAGCCACACUGGAACUGAGACACGGUCCAGACUCCUACGGGAGGCAGCAGUGGGGAAUAUUGCACAAUGGGCGCAAGCCUGAUGCAGCCAUGCCGCGUGUAUGAAGAAGGCCUUCGGGUUGUAAAGUACUUUCAGCGGGGAGGAAGGCGUUGAGGUUAAUAACCUCAGCGAUUGACGUUACCCGCAGAAGAAGCACCGGCUAACUCCGUGCCAGCAGCCGCGGUAAUACGGAGGGUGCAAGCGUUAAUCGGAAUUACUGGGCGUAAAGCGCACGCAGGCGGUCUGUCAAGUCGGAUGUGAAAUCCCCGGGCUCAACCUGGGAACUGCAUUCGAAACUGGCAGGCUAGAGUCUUGUAGAGGGGGGUAGAAUUCCAGGUGUAGCGGUGAAAUGCGUAGAGAUCUGGAGGAAUACCGGUGGCGAAGGCGGCCCCCUGGACAAAGACUGACGCUCAGGUGCGAAAGCGUGGGGAGCAAACAGGAUUAGAUACCCUGGUAGUCCACGCCGUAAACGAUGUCGACUUGGAGGUUGUGCCCUUGAGGCGUGGCUUCCGGAGCUAACGCGUUAAGUCGACCGCCUGGGGAGUACGGCCGCAAGGUUAAAACUCAAAUGAAUUGACGGGGGCCCGCACAAGCGGUGGAGCAUGUGGUUUAAUUCGAUGCAACGCGAAGAACCUUACCUACUCUUGACAUCCAGAGAACUUAGCAGAGAUGCUUUGGUGCCUUUCGGGAACUCUGAGACAGGUGCUGCAUGGCUGUCGUCAGCUCGUGUUGUGAAAUGUUGGGUUUAAGUCCCGCAACGAGCGCAACCCUUUAUCCUUUGUUGCCAGCGUUUAGGCCGGAACUCAAAGGAGACUGCCAGUGAUAAACUGGGAAGAAGGUGGGAUGACGUCCAGUCAUCAUGGCCCCUUACCAGUAGGCUUACCCCGUGCUACAAUGGGCCCAUACACAAGAGAAAGGCGAACCUCUCUCUGCCG